rfam:Canis lupus familiaris chromosome 16, whole genome shotgun sequence.
UAUAGCCAUGAAAAACAAUGAAUUAGCUGAAAUGAUACAGAAAAGAUUAGCAUGGCCCCUGUACAAGAAUGACUGGCAAAUCUGUGAAGUGUUCUAUUAAAAA